rnacentral:rRNA from 1 species
UUGACCUCGAAUCAGGUAGGAAUACCCGCUGAACUUAAGCAUAUCAAUAAGCGGAGGAAAAGAAACCAACCGGGAUUACCUCAGUAACGGCGAGUGAAGCGGUAACAGCUCAAAUUUGAAAUCUGGCUCCUGCGGAGUCCGAGUUGUAAUUUGUAGAAGAUGCUUUGGGUUGUGGGUUCGGCCUAAGUUCCUUGGAACAGGACGUCAUAGAGGGUGAGAAUCCCGUAUGUGGCCGAGGCCCGCGCCUAUGUAAAGCUCUUUCAACGAGUCGAGUUGUUUGGGAAUGCAGCUCAAAAUGGGUGGUAAAUUUCAUCUAAAGCUAAAUAUGGGCCAGAGACCGAUAGCGCACAAGUAGAGUGAUCGAAAGAUGAAAAGCACUUUGGAAAGAGAGUUAAACAGUACGUGAAAUUGUUGAAAGGGAAGCGCUUGCAACCAGACUUGGGCGCUGCCGAUCACCCCGAGUUCUCUCAGGUGCACUCGACAGCGCGCAGGCCAGCAUCGGUUCGGGUGGCUGGAUAAAGGCCGUAGGAACGUAGCUCCCUCCGGGGAGUGUUAUAGCCUACGGUGCCAUGCAGCCCAGCCGGACCGAGGACCGCGCCUUCGGGCUAGGAUGCUGGCGUAAUGGUUGUAAGCGACCCGUCUUGAAACACGGACCAAGGAGUCUAACAUCUAUGCGAGUGUUUGGGUGGCAAACCCAUACGCGGAAUGAAAGUGAACG